GCCCUUAUAGCUCAGUCGUACGAGCGCGCCACUCGUAGCCUAAGGCAUCAAGAUUACAUCUACGGCCUAGGUGUUGAGGUAUGGUGAGGUCCGCGGUUCAAUCCCGCGUGAGGGCA
rnacentral:tRNA from 1 species